AACGAACGCUGGCGGCAUGCCUAACACAUGCAAGUCGAACGAGACCUUCGGGUCUAGUGGCGCACGGGUGCGUAACGCGUGGGAACCUGCCCUUAGGUUCGGAAUAACUCCCCGAAAGGGGUGCUAAUACCGGAUAAUGUCUUCGGACCAAAGAUUUAUCGCCUUUGGAUGGGCCCGCGUUGGAUUAGCUAGUUGGUAGGGUAAAAGCCUACCAAGGCGACGAUCCAUAGCUGGUCUGAGAGGAUGAUCAGCCACACUGGGACUGAGACACGGCCCAGACUCCUACGGGAGGAAGCAGGGGGGAAUAUUGGACAAGGGGCGAAAGCCUGAUCCAGCAAUGCCGGGUGAGUGAGGAAGGCCUUAGGGUGGUAAAGCUCUUUUACCCGGGAGGAUAAUGACAGUACCGGGAGAAUAAGCUCCGGCAAACUCCGU
rnacentral:rRNA from 1 species